UGAAUAUAGUUUAUUAAAAAUUUUAGUCUGUGAAUCUAAAGAUGAGGAUUAAUCAUCCUCUAUUCAUCG
rnacentral:tRNA from 1 species